rnacentral:RNase_P_RNA from 1 species
AGGAUAAACGGAGCCGUCGCUACCCGGACCAGCCGGGUAGAGGAACUUCCCGACUCCCGGCCCCUCUGUUGGGCAAGGUCGCCUCACGAAACAGUAAGUGAGGGCGCAUUCGCCGUAAGGCGGGUGCGACUACAACCGCAACAGAGAGCAGACCAGCCCCCGCCAGGGGGUGAUGGGUGAAACGGUAGGGUAAGAGCCUACCAGCGGCGUCGGUAACGGCGCCGGCUGGGCGAGCGUGCGACUGGGAGCAAGGCGAGUGGGCCAGGCCGGUAAGGUUUGGUCUCGUCGCAGUCAUCCCGGUGAGGCAGGGUAACACCCUGCAAGCCAGGGAUGACCACCCCACCUGGGGUGAGACAGAUGACGGCUAAAACAGAAUCGGGAGUACCUGUUUAUCCAUUCA